GCUAGCAUAGCAGAGCCUGGUAAAUGAAAAAGGCUUAAGCCCUUUAAACAGAGAUUCAAUUCCUCUUCCUAGCU
rnacentral:tRNA from 1 species